AUUGAACGCUGGCGGCAGGCCUAACACAUGCAAGUCGAACGAGUGGCGGACGGGUGAGUAAUGUCUGGGACACUGCCUGAUGGAGGGGGAUAACUACUGGAAACGGUAGCUAAUACCGCAUACCAUCUGAUGUUCCCAGAUGGGAUUGGCUAGUAGGUGGGGUAACGGCUCACCUAGGCGACGAUCCCUAGCUGGUUUGAGAGGAUGACCAGCCACACUGGAACGUAUACACGGCCAAGACUCCGACGGGCGUCAGAAGGGGGGAAUAUUGGACAAGGGGCGAAAGCCGGAUGCAGACAUGCCGCUUGUAGGAAGAAGGCCUUCGGGUUGUAAAGUCCGUUCUGCGGGGAGGCGUUACCCGCAGAAGAAGCACCGGCUAACUCCGUGCCAGCAGCCGCGGUAAUUC
rnacentral:rRNA from 1 species